AUGUCGAGCUCUCUUCGACGGCCAGCGGCUGCCAGACCGAUCUCCAAACCAUCCGCCAAGGGCCUCAACAGCCAUAACCGAUGGUCCUCUCUAGCCAAUCUGCCAGAGGAAGAAGAUGAAUCGGAUCGACUCAGUAACUUGCCUGAGGGUGUGUUGCUCGAUAUUUUAGGGCGACUUGACAUCGCAGAUGCUGCUAGAACUAGAAUCCUCGCCAGACGGUGGAAGGAGAUUCCUACCAUGCUCUCCAAUUUUUUUAUAACAGUUGGUUCCUAUGACGAUGAGCACAAUAGAGCGUUGACCCGUGAUGAUGUAGCUCGGGCCAAUGCCACCGUCCUUGGAGCAACCAGGAGCUUGCUGGAAAGCAGGACUAGUACAAGCCUAUGCACCUCCAUUAAGCUCCUGCGCGUGCAAUUCUUCUUGGGAGAUGGAGAUGUUACUAGUAUCGGCCAGUCUCUUGCCAACACCAUGGCAAUGAACAAGGUUGGGUCAGCGUAA
rnacentral:rRNA from 1 species